UAGAGUUUGAUCAUGGCUCAGGAUGAACGCUAGCGACAGGCCUAACACAUGCAAGUCGAGGGGCAUCGGGGCGAGGAGCAAUCCUUGCCGCCGGCGACCGGCGCACGGGUGAGUAACGCGUAUGCGACCUGCCCGUUGCAGGGGGAUAAUCAGGAGAAAUCCCGUCUAAUACCGCGUAACGCCGCGGGGCUGCAUGGCCCUGCGGCCAAAGGAAGCGAUUCCGGCAACGGAUGGGCAUGCGUGACAUUAGCUAGUUGGCGGGGCAACGGCCCACCAAGGCGACGAUGUCUAGGGGUUCUGAGAGGAAGGUCCCCCACACUGGUACUGAGACACGGACCAGACUCCUACGGGAGGCAGCAGUGAGGAAUAUUGGUCAAUGGGCGCGAGCCUGAACCAGCCAAGUCGCGUGAGGGAUGACGGCCCUACGGGUUGUAAACCUCUUUUGUCGGGGAGCAAAUUCCGCCACGUGUGGCGGAGUCGAGAGUACCCGAAGAAAAAGCAUCGGCUAACUCCGUGCCAGCAGCCGCGGUAAUACGGAGGAUGCGAGCGUUAUCCGGAUUUAUUGGGUUUAAAGGGUGCGUAGGCGGACUGUCAAGUCAGCGGUAAAGUACGGGGGCUCAACCUCCGCCCGCCGUUGAAACUGACGGUCUUGAGUGGGCGAGAAGUAUGCGGAAUGCGUGGUGUAGCGGUGAAAUGCAUAGAUAUCACGCAGAACUCCGAUUGCGAAGGCAGCAUACCGGCGCCCAACUGACGCUGAAGCACGAAAGCGUGGGUAUCGAACAGGAUUAGAUACCCUGGUAGUCCACGCAGUAAACGAUGAAUACUAGCUGUCCGGGGCGAAUGAGCCCUGGGUGGCACAGCGAAAGCGUUAAGUAUU
rnacentral:rRNA from 1 species